UACGUAGGGGGCAAGCGUUGUCCGGAUUUAUUGGGCGUAAAGAGCGUGUAGGCGGUUAGGUAAGUCCGUUGUGAAAACUCGAGGCUCAACCUCGGGACGCCGAUGGAAACCAUCUGACUAGAGUCCGGAAGAGGAGAGUGGAAUUCCUGGUGUAGCGGUGAAAUGCGCAGAUAUCAGGAAGAACACCCGUGGCUAAGGCGGCUCUCUAGUACGGUACUGACGCUGAGACGCGAAAGCGUGGGGAGCGAACAGG
rnacentral:rRNA from 1 species